CUUAUCCAGAGCGGCGGAGGGAACAGGCCCUAUGAAGCCCGGCAACCGGCAAGGAAUGCAAGGUGCCAAUUCCUGCGGGCGGCAUGCCCGGAAGAUGAGG
rnacentral:ncRNA from 1 species